rnacentral:lncRNA from 1 species
AGAGAAGAAGUAUGAAGAAAAUGUUUCCCAAGUAACCCGGGCUCCCCUCUCCAUCCCUUCCUUUUCCAACAGUGCUCCCCAGCAAAUCUGGGACCACGACAGCCUUCUUCUAGUUACCCACAGUGUUCACCACAGUAACAUGCUGUACAGAAACCCAGGAGAAAUAGGCUAUACCCUAUAGCCUAGGUGUGUAGCAGGCUCUACCAUCUAAGUAUGUGCUUUUGCAUUUCUGAUGACUGGAUGGCCCCACUGGAUCCAUGACUCUUGACUCAACUGGUCCUAUGGCCACUACUCAGAAGUGGACUCAGCUUCAGGAAGGCCAUUUUCCCUAUCCCUAUGAUUGCUUUCUCAACCAAUCAGCAGCACCCAUUCCCUAGCCCCCUGCUUGCCAAACUAUCUUUGAAAAACCCUAGCCUCCAAAUUUUCGGGGAGGUUAGUUUGAGUAGUAAUAAAACUCUAGUCUCCCUUCUAGCCUGUUUUACAUGUAUUAAACUGUUUCUCUAUUGCAAUUUCCUUAUAUUGAUAAAUUGGCUUUAUCUGGGCAGCAGGCAAAAGAAACCCAUUGGGUGGUUACAACUGCUAUUACAACCAGUAAUAUAUGACCAUCAUAUGGCACCCAAAUAACAUGAUUUUGGAAAUAAAAGUUACUGCCUUCCAAUGAAAUAACAAUGUUACUAGAUCACUGACAGUUUCCCCCUUUCAAAAUAUAAUAACAAAAAUUAGGAAUUCCUUCAAAAGAGUCUUCUCUACGAUUGUUACGACAGAGAAAUAUAAGUCCUACAUUAUAUAAAUUGUUUUAUUCUUAACAUGUUUCUUCUG